rnacentral:rRNA from 1 species
CCUACGGGAGGCAGCAGUGGGGAAUAUUGCACAAUGGGGGAAACCCUGAUGCAGCGACGCCGCGUGAGUGAAGAAGUAAUUCGUUAUGUAAAGCUCUAUCAGCAGGGAAGAAAAUGAUGGUACCUGAGUAAGAAGCCCCGGCUAACUACGUGCCAGCAGCCGCGGUAAUACGUAGGGGGCAAGCGUUAUCCGGAUUUACUGGGUGUAAAGUGAGCGUAGACGGCAGUGCAAGUAUGGAGUGAAAGGCGGGGGCUCAACCCCCGGACUGCUCUGGAAACUGUACGGCUGGAGUGCAGGAGAGGUAAGUGGAAUUCCUAGUGUAGCGGUGAACUGCGUAGAUAUUAGGAGGAACACCAGUGGCGAAGGCGGCUUACUGGACUGUAACUGACGUUGAGGCUCGAAAGCGUGGGGAGCAAACAGGAUUAGAUACCCGUGUAGUC